rnacentral:lncRNA from 1 species
GCCGUAGGGUGUGUGCUGUCCGGGCUCACGGGGACCCUGUCUCCGAGUCGUUCGUGCAGCGUGUGUACCAGCCCUUCCUCACCACCUGCGACGGGCACCGGGCCUGCAGCACCUACCGAACCAUCUAUAGGACCGCCUACCGCCGCAGCCCUGGGCUGGCCCCUGCCAGGCCUCGCUACGCGUGCUGCCCCGGCUGGAAGAGGACCAGCGGGCUUCCUGGGGCCUGUGGAGCAGCAAUAUGCCAGCCGCCAUGCCGGAACGGAGGGAGCUGUGUCCAGCCUGGCCGCUGCCGCUGCCCUGCAGGAUGGCGGGGUGACACUUGCCAGUCAGAUGUGGAUGAAUGCAGUGCUAGGAGGGGCGGCUGUCCCCAGCGCUGCGUCAACACCGCCGGCAGUUACUGGUGCCAGUGUUGGGAGGGGCACAGCCUGUCUGCAGACGGUACACUCUGUGUGCCCAAGGGAGGGCCCCCCAGGGUGGCCCCCAACCCGACAGGUAAACAGCCCUGGCUGUGCCUGGCCUGGGGAGGCGGGCAGGCAGUGGACAUUGCCGUGUGGCUGUUAGGCAUGGUGGGGGGCACUGGAAUCUGGGCGGAAGGCGGUGGGGACUCCCUCUCCAGGGAGGGAGGAUGGGGAGGGAGGAUAGGUG